GGUUUUAUAUUAAAGAAAUUCGGUAUGAGAUGGGGAUGCGUUCCAUUAGUUUGUUGGCGGGGUAACGGCCCACCAAGACUACGAUGGAUAGGGGUUCUGAGAGGAAGGUCCCCCACAUUGGAACUGAGACACGGUCCAAACUCCUACGGGAGGCAGCAGUGAGGAAUAUUGGUCAAUGGACGCGAGUCUGAACCAGCCAAGUAGCGUGAAGGAUGACUGCCCUAUGGGUUGUAAACUUCUUUUAUAUGGGAAUAAAGUGGUCCACGUGUGGAUUUUUGUAUGUACCAUAUGAAUAAGGAUCGGCUAACUCCGUGCCAGCAGCCGCGGUAAUACGGAGGAUCCGAGCGUUAUCCGGAUUUAUUGGGUUUAAAGGGAGCGUAGGCGGAUUGUUAAGUCAGUUGUGAAAGUUUGCGGCUCAACCGUAAAAUUGCAGUUGAUACUGGCAGUCUUGAGUGCAGUAGAGGUGGGCGGAAUUCGUGGUGUAGCGGUGAAAUGCUUAGAUAUCACGAAGAACUCCGAUUGCGAAGGCAGCUCACUGGAGUGUAACUGACGCUGAUGC
rnacentral:rRNA from 1 species